UACGUAGGGUGCGAGCGUUAAUCGGAAUUACUGGGCGUAAAGCGUGCGCAGGCGGUCUGUUAAGACCGAUGUGAAAUCCCCGGGCUUAACCUGGGAACUGCAUUGGUGACUGGCAGGCUUUGAGUGUGGCAGAGGGAGGUAGAAUUCCACGUGUAGCAGUGAAAUGCGUAGAGAUGUGGAGGAAUACCGAUGGCGAAGGCAGCCUCCUGGGCCAACACUGACGCUCAUGCACGAAAGCGUGGGGAGAAACAGGAUA
rnacentral:rRNA from 1 species